AUCGUUCAUCUCUUCCCAAGCUCUCCCGCUGUAAGUGCUUCAUUCACAAUCCAAACGGGUUAACGGGUGACAUUUAAGAAGCGGUCGAUAUUUGACGGUAGAGACGGAAGUAGGGAAUCCCCCGAAGGAACGCGCU
rnacentral:ncRNA from 2 species